GCGGCGGCUAGCCGGCCCCUAGCCCGCCCGGCCCCUCAGCAGCCGCCUCUCAGCCACUGGCUGCACACUGACCCGACGCGACCUUCUCUCGGGGGCCGCCAGCCUGGGCCACCUGUACAACGACAGCCUGCUCCGGGGCUUCCUGAGGAGGUGCCUGCCCGCCGAGGUUCAACAGCUUCGGAGAGCAGGACAUCUUUUCCUCUCAGCCUGGCCCUCUGCAAUAGAGGCCAUAAACAGGCCAGUAGUGAAAGCUACAGGACAUGUGAGCAUGGCAGGGGCUGAGCUCCAUUUUAAGAUAUGGGUAAGAGGAGGGAUGCUGUUGCCUUGGAGCUGCCAGGCUGCCUGGCAGACAAGCAGGAUUCCCGCUGCCUCCCGUGGAGACUACACUGGAACGCAGGUCUUGCCCUGUCAUCCAGGCUGGAGUGCAAUGGAUCUUGGAUCACUGCAACCUCCACCUUCUAGGCUCAAGUGAUCCUCCUGCCUCAACCUCCCAAGUAGCUGGGACUACAGGUAUGUGCCACCACGCUUGGUUAGUUUUUGCAUUUUGGGUAGAAACGGGGUUUCACCACAUUGCCCAGGCUGGUCUGGAACUCCUGGGAUCAAGUGAUCCUCCCGCCUUGGCCUCCCAAAGUGCUGGGACUACAGGCAUGAGCUACCAAGCCCGGCCCCAAAGCAAAAUUUUCUGUCAUCUGACAGCAUCUGCCUUUUAAGCCUCAGAAGACAAAUCAUGGCAAAUAGGCAGGAGCACAGAGCGCUGGGGAAAACACAAACCAGGGGGUCACAGAAAAACUGGAGGAUUUGCUCUGUCACUGAGGAGCUGCUCAGUGUAUGCAAAACAACAUGAAGCAACAGGGCCCAACUCACUCCCAGAAACAAGGAUCUUACAGCCUUGUAGCUCAGAAAUCCCUGUAACUUCCCUGAAAAAACUGCAGAGAUCUAAGAUAUUGUGGAGCCAGAUAACAUCAUGAUCUCUGACCAUCCCUGGAAAUGUCCCAACACAGGAAUACACCCACACAGGCUGUCAGGCCUGUGGCAUCACCCUGGGCUCACCGGCUC